rnacentral:rRNA from 1 species
AGAGUUUGAUCCUGGCUCAGAAUCAACGCUGGCGGCGUGCCUCAGACAUGCAAGUCGAACGAUUAAACUUCUCUUCGGAGAAGAUAUAAAGUGGCGCACGGGUGAGUAACACGUAGGUAAUCUACCUUUGAGUGGGGAAUAACUUAGGGAAACUUAAGCUAAUACCGCAUAAUGCAAUCGUGUCUAUGACACUUUUGUUAAAGGAGUAAUCCGCUUAAAGAGGAGCCUGCGGCAGAUUAGCUAGUUGGUAAGGUAAUGGCUUACCAAGGCUACGAUCUGUAACCGACCUGAGAGGGUGGUCGGUCACACUGACACUGAAUAACGGGUCAGACUCCUACGGGAGGCAGCAGUCGGGAAUUUUGGGCAAUGGGCGAAAGCCUGACCCAGCAACGCCGCGUGAAGGAUGAAGUCUUUCGGGAUGUAAACUUCGUAAGAAUGGGAAGAAUAAAUGACGGUACCAUUUGUAAGGUCCGGCUAACUACGUGCCAGCAGCCGCGGUAAUACGUAGGGACCAAGCGUUGUUCGGAUUUACUGGGCGUAAAGGGCGCGUAGGCGGCGUGACAAGUCAGUUGUGAAAUCUCCGAGCUUAACUUGGAACGGUCAACUGAUACUGUUGUGCUAGAGUACAGAAGGGGCAAUCGGAAUUCUUGGUGUAGCGGUGAAAUGCGUAGAUAUCAAGAGGAACACCUGAGGUGAAGAC